AUUGAACGCUGGCGGCAGGCCUAACACAUGCAAGUCGAACGAGUGGCGGACGGGUGAGUAAUGUCUGGGAAACUGCCUGAUGGAGGGGGAUAACUACUGGAAACGGUAGCUAAUACCGCAUACCAUCGGAUGUGCCCAGAUGGGCUUAGCUAGUCGGUGGGGUAAAGGCUCACCUAGGCGACGAUCCCUAGCUGGUCUGAGAGGAUGACCACCCACACUGGAACGGAGACACGGUCCAGAUUCCUACGGGAGGCAGCAUUGGGGAAUAUUGUACAAAUGGCGAAAUCCUGAUGCAGCCAUGCCGCGUGUAUGAAGAAGGCCUUCGGGUUGUAAAGUACUGUCAGAGGGGAGGCGUUACCUGCAGAAGAAGCACCGGCUAACUCCGUGCCAGCAGCCGCGGUAAUUC
rnacentral:rRNA from 1 species